rnacentral:rRNA from 1 species
GAGUAACGCGUAGGUAACCUGCCUGGUAGCGGGGGAUAACUAUUGGAAACGAUAGCUAAUACCGCAUAAUAUCUUUGAUUGCAUGAUUGAAGUUUGAAAGAUGCAACUGCAUCACUACCAGAUGGACCUGCGUUGUAUUAGCUAGUAGGUGAGGUAAAGGCUCACCUAGGCGACGAUACAUAGCCGACCUGAGAGGGUGAACGGCCACACUGGGACUGAGACACGGCCCAGACUCCUACGGGAGGCAGCAGUAGGGAAUCUUCGGCAAUGGGGGCAACCCUGACCGAGCAACGCCGCGUGAGUGAAGAAGGUUUUCGGAUCGUAAAGCUCUGUUGUAAGAGAAGAAUGUGUGUGAGAGUGGCAAGUUCACACAGUGACGGUAACUUACCAGAAAGGGACGGCUAACUACGUGCCAGCAGCCGCGGUAAUACGUAGGUCCCGAGCGUUAUCCGGAUUUAUUGGGCGUAAAGCGAGCGCAGGCGGUUGGAUAAGUCUGAAGUUAAAGGCUGUGGCUCAACCGUAGUAUGCUUUGGAAACUGUUCAACUUGAGUGCAGAAGGGGAGAGUGGAAUUCCAUGUGUAGCGGUGGAAUGCGUAGAUAUAUGGAGGAACACCGGUGGCGAAAGCGGCUCUCUGGUCUGUAACUGACGCUGAGGCUCGAAAGCGUGGGUAGCGAACAGGAUUAGAUACCCUG